rnacentral:lncRNA from 1 species
AACACUCCGCAGGGUCCCGAGUAGGCAGUUGUGGUCCACAGGCCACUGGCAAACAGAGGCAGAGCCACAGAGGGGCUGCUCGUCCCCAAAUGUCUCUCCAGCCGCUCUGAAGCUGCUGCGGGCUGCUGUGCUGGUGAUGGCUGAGAUCAUGAGAUGAGCCCCGGGGGUCCCUGGGCAUCCCUGGGAGGUCCAUGGAGAAGGUGGAACACUGGACUAAAGAGACAGGCUGAGGAAGCCCUCAAGUCACCCCUGAUGGAGGCCAGACCUUGAAUGUUACAAUCCCUCUGCUUAUCGACCCUUAAUAAAAAUCUGAGCAGGUCUUCUCUGCAGGACACAGGAGGCUUUCUGGAAAAAAAAACAUGGAAAAGUGAGUCUCCUAAGCGUUCCCAAGUGAUUGAUGCAGGACACAUCUUAAAAGGAUGAAAGGAGGAUGGAGGAAAACUUCAGAAGGAAAUAACACAGUUUGAAUGAAAACACCUAUUUUGCAGAAAGUCCGGAAGUGCUCGACCAAGAGAUCGCGAGAUGGGAGCAGAGAGUACAGGAAAGGAAGGAGGAGAAAGAAAGGCUGGAAACCUUUGAAUGCACAAAAAAAACAGGUCAUGAAAGAUACCACGAGCCAACUAAAAUCUCUGGCUGAAAAUGUGCUGGACACCAUGCAGUUGGAAGAUUUCACUAGGGACCGCAGUGAUGAGGGGAACUUGGAAGCAGAGCUAAAGAGGAAAGCAGAAAAUGAAGAAACCACCCCCUUAAAAAUUAAGUAAAUUUUUUUAAAGUUAUGUGCAUACAUUCUGUAUAUACAGAAAAGAUAUCUAAAUUGUAUGCACGCAGAAGGAGCAUUGCCCCCACAAGGAACAGUUCAUGCUAAAUGGUGCAGAUGAAGAGACUUUGACAAAGGAAGUUUCCUGAGCUGUGGGCAGGGAUGAGAGCUCAGACAAAUGAUGGGAAGCCUCCCAGAUGCCAAGGUUUCCCACCCCCAGGUUUCAAGGGAGGAGAGAGGAAGUGAUGUCAUCUGAGCCCAGUGAGGCCCUGUCAAGGGACCAGGGAAAACUGCCCCCACUUUUUGCUCCCAUCCUCUCAUUGACUGCAGGUGCACAGGCAGCUGCCUGAAAGAGGGCCUGCGAAGUGCAAGCCAGAGGAGUUGGCCUCCAUGGCACAGAGCAGGCAGAAAACAAAUUUGGAGAAUGACCAGCACUCUUGGGUUUAUUUGACUGAAAGUGCUUGUUUUAUUGCAUUCACUCACAUCCAUUUAUU